GGGCGUAUGGUCUAGAGGUAUGAUACCUGCUUUGGGUAUAGAUUUACAUAUAUCCGGCUCAUUGCAGGGGGUCUUCGGUUCGAAUCCGGAUUCGCCCC